AGCGCAGGUGGUUGUAUAAGUCUGAAGUAAAAGGCAGUGGCUCAACCAUUGUGUGCUUUGGAAACUGUACAACUUGAGUGCAGAAGGGGAGAGUGGAAUUCCAUGUGUAGCGGUGAAAUGCGUAGAUAUAUGGAGGAACACCGGUGGCGAAAGCGGCUCUCUGGUCUGUAACUGACACUGAGGAGCGAAAGCAUGGGUAGCAAACA
rnacentral:rRNA from 1 species